rnacentral:tRNA from 1 species
GGUGCGGUACCCAAGCGGUAAGGGAGCAGUCUGCAAAACUGUUAUUCGUCGGUUCGAUUCCGGCCCGCACCU